UACGGGGGGGGCAAGCGUUGUUCGGAAUUACUGGGCGUAAAGGGCUCGUAGGCGGCCAACUAAGUCGGAUGUGAAAUCCCCAGGCUCAACUUGGGAACUGCAUCCGAUACUGGAUGGCUUGAAUUCGGGAGAGGGAUGCAGAAUUCCAGGUGUAGCGGUGAAAUGCGUAGAGAUCCGGAGGAACACCGGAGGCGAAGGCGGCCUGCUGGGCUGCACCUGACGCUGAGCCGCGAAAGCCAGGGGAGCGAACGGG
rnacentral:rRNA from 1 species